rnacentral:rRNA from 1 species
CCUACGGGAGGCAGCAGUGGGGAAUAUUGGACAAUGGGGGGAACCCUGAUCCAGCGACGCCGCGUGAGUGAAGAAGUACUUCGGUAUGUAAAGCUCUAUCAGCAGGGAAGAAAAUGACGGUACCUGACUAAGAAGCCCCGGCUAACUUCGUGCCAGCAGCCGCGGUAAGACGUAGGGGGCAAGCGUUAUCCGGAUUUACUGGGUGUAAAGGGAGCGUAGACGGUGCAGCAAGUCUGUUGUGAAAGGUCGGGGCCCAACCCCGGGACUGCAGUGGAAACUGGUGAGCUGGAGUACAGGAGAGGUAGGCGGAAUUCCUAGUGUAGCGGUGAAAUGCGUAGAUAUUAGGAGGAACACCAGUGGCGAAGGCGGCUGACUGGACUGUAACUGACGUUGAGGCUCGAAAGCGUGGGGAGCAAACAGGAUUAGAUACCCCUGUAGUC